ACUUUGGAAAUUCACCAAAAAUCUGUGGAUAAGCUAAAUGUUCUGAAAUUUGGUGGGCUAACAAUGUUAUCUACCAUUGUAGCAAGUUUCACCCCAAUAGCUUUAAAAACGAGGGAGAUGGGAGCCCCUUAAGUUUUCCUAAUUAUAGUUAUUUAAUUAUGCACAAUUACUGUAACGAAAUACAGUAGAGUCUCACUUAUCCAACACUCACUUAUCCAACGUUCUGGAUUAUCCAAUGCAUUUUUGUAGUCAAUGUUUUCAAUAUAUCGUGAUAUUUUGGUGCUAAAUUCGUAAAUACAGUCAUUACUACAUAGCAUGACUGUGUAUUGAACUAUUUUUUCUGUAAAACUUGUUGUAUAACAUGAUUUUUUGCUGCUUAAUUUGUAAAUUCAUAACCUAAUUUGAUGUUUAAUAGGCUGUUCCUUAAUCUCUCCUUAUUAUCCAACAUAUUCACUUAUCCAACAUUCUGCCGGCCCAUUCAUGUUGAAUAAGCGAGACUCUACUGUAGUAAUGGAAUUUCGUUAGUCUCGUUAUAGUAAUGAAAUUUUAACUAAGUAUACUUUAGAAACACUUUAGAAACCAAGUGCCAGCGCUCCCAGUUUUGUAAUGACUUUUGAACCAUUUUUUGUGGAUGGCACAUCCCUACUAUAUAGACCACUAGAGAUUUUUCUUACUGUUUUAAUAGUUGAAUGUGCCUUAUUAACUAACUUCUUACUGCUUGAAUAAAUCAGUUUUUUGAAAAUUUAUUUUUUCUCUUCCCUUCCAGAUGCCCCAUGAAUCCACCGUGGAGCACAUGCGGUUGGACAUCACGGAGGGCUUCCAAGUCAGGCAGCGGGAUCUCCAAAGUGUUUCCCAAGAGGCCAACCACUGUGAAGAGCAAGAGAAUUGAACCUCCCCUCCCAACAAUUAUCCUGUCAAUAACAUGCCUGAGAUGAUGGAGACGUGGGCUUCGCAGAGAGGGAGGAGGUGGUGGCGGAAAGGCAAGGGGCUGCAGGAAAACUCCCCUUCCCCAAAUGUCUUCCUAGAGGCUGCCCCGAGGGCGAAGCUCCCCUCGCUCUGUUCCCGCACUCGGCCCUUCCUCCCCAAGGCCUGCCUCACAUUGUAUUUGCUUCCGAGGAAACCUGCCCUGCAAAGAAGCAAGAAUAAAGAUUUCUGCCAUCCUCUCUCUUGCUGUUAAGAAUUCGAGAAACCCCCCUGUCAACAAGAGCUUGCGGAUGGGCCCUUAAAUAUUGGAUCAUG